GGCAAUCUGCCCUGCACUCUGGGACAAGCCCUGGAAACGGGGUCUAAUACCGGAUACUGACCCGCUUGGGCAUCCAAGCGGUUCGAAAGCUCCGGCGGUGCAGGAUGAGCCCGCGGCCUAUCAGCUUGUUGGUGAGGUAAUGGCUCACCAAGGCGACGACGGGUAGCCGGCCUGAGAGGGCGACCGGCCACACUGGGACUGAGACACGGCCCAGACUCCUACGGGAGGCAGCAGUGGGGAAUAUUGCACAAUGGGCGAAAGCCUGAUGCAGCGACGCCGCGUGAGGGAUGACGGCCUUCGGGUUGUAAACCUCUUUCAGCAGGGAAGAAGCGAAAGUGACGGUACCUGCAGAAGAAGCGCCGGCUAACUACGUGCCAGCAGCCGCGGUAAUACGUAGGGCGCGAGCGUUGUCCGGAAUUAUUGGGCGUAAAGAGCUCGUAGGCGGCUUGUCGCGUCGGUUGUGAAAGCCCGGGGCUUAACCCCGGGUCUGCAGUCGAUACGGGCAGGCUAGAGUUCGGUAGGGGAGAUCGGAAUUCCUGGUGUAGCGGUGAAAUGCGCAGAUAUCAGGAGGAACACCGGUGGCGAAGGCGGAUCUCUGGGCCGAUACUGACGCUGAGGAG
rnacentral:rRNA from 1 species